UUCCUCAUACUUCUAUCUCUAGAAUAAGCCUCACAUUCAAGUUUGACAGCAGUACAAUCAGUUUUCCAUUCAUCACUGGCCCUGUUUUAACCCUGCUGAAAAAGGGCCUAAUGUACGUGGCAGUGAUGGCAAUUAGGCAGAAAAGUAAUAUUAGAAACAGACAAAAGCCUGAGUCUUUUAGCAUUACAGGUGUUUUUUUUUUUUUUUUUUUUUUUUUCAGCCUGUUCUAGACAUAAAGGAAUAGGCAGUGUUGUUAAGUUCCCUUCUUCAGUCUUCUCUUAAGCUGAAAGUCCAACGAUUUCAAGAUUCAAUUAAUUAGAGACAUGGAGAGCCAAAGUACAAGAUACCUGUACGGAGAACUUGGGAGGCAUUUUCAUAAGCUCUUUGUCAAGUGAAUGUUAAAGUCCCCAUUCACUGAGAAGCAAAGGGUGAAGAACUGAGACCCUACAUGGCUUUUUAGUGCAUUGAUGGAGCAGAGACACUUCUAUGAACAACUGCCUAUGCAAACUGAUUACUCGGCAGUAUAAUUUAUCAGUUCUUACGAGUAAGUGAGUGCUUCUCACUAUGGAUUUAACUUGCACUUCAAUUUAGUAAUCAAAGAGCUGAGUUUUCCUGAAGAGGCACAAACUCAAAAAAUCCCAGUUGUAUCCUGUCACCUUAUGCAUGGAUAUUCACAUUGUGGCAGCACUGUGCCAGACACCAGCACACCCAUUCCGGAAACAGUCUGAUUUCUGUCACUGUGGAGCCAACCACCAUGAGAGAAUUAUCUGUCUGCACACAGCUGGACUCAGGAAUGGCCAUGAAACCUCCAGGCAGAAGUUUGAAAGUCAGUAUAUGAGUGACUGUGUUUUUUUUACCCGCUUUGCUACGAGACCAUGUCUGGAUAGAGGCUGCCCCAUCAGUCUCGUCGUGUAAUGCACAUUUGGAAUAUAGCCACAGCUACAAUGGACAAAGGAUGAGUAAAAAAUCACAUUCUGCUGUUGUAAGGUACUGAAAUUCUGGAUUCAUUUGUUACGACACAUCAAUGGUCUUUUCCUGACUAAUACACUUAGAGAACAGCAAUGUAUUCACAGGAAUAAGGAAGUCUUGAGAGGCAACAUAGAGAAGUGGAUGAAGCCAGUCUCCUUAGGCUAAAACCUUCUUCUUGCCUCUUUGUAACCAAGUAAACUUGAGGACAUUGCAUUACUUUUAUAGGUUCUUAUCCUCCAAAGAAAAUGGAGAUAAUAGUACCUAGCCUCAAAUAGUUGUUAUGAAGAUUGAAUGAUACAUUACAUGUAGUAUUUAAUGUCUGAUAAUACAUAGAAAAUCUUCAAUCUAUAUCAGCUAUUAUUUUUAAAACUAGUAUUAGCAUUAGCAUUUUUAAGCAGAGAUUACAGCAGUAAAGAAUUUGGGUUUUAACUCAGAAACACCUGGCUUCAACUCUCAAUUCUGACACUCUCAGUGUAAAUUUGUAUUCAUAACUUGAGUUUUCUGAGCCUUUGUUUAUUUACUUACAAAGUGAGGAUAAGAAUGCCUAUUUAUUGUAUCACUGAGGCGAUGAAAUAAGUUUGUAGUAUAGAGAGCACAAUGCAUGGCACAUUGGAAACACCCAAUAAAUGAUGCUGUUAUUAUGAUUAAAAAUCAAUAGUGACUACUUUUAAAA